rnacentral:rRNA from 1 species
CAUUAAGAGUUGGAGGAGUAGUAUUUUAAUUACUAGUGAUAGUGAUAUUGCUAGAACAAACAAUUUGAACAAUAACAAAUAGACAAAUUACAUGAGCACCUUGCUGCAAUGGAUCUCUCGGCUCUUGCAUCGAAGAAGAACGCAGUCCAUUGCGAAAAGUCAUGCGACCUGCACACUUUGAGAAGCAUUACUCUUUGAACGCACCUUGCACGUGGGAUUUAUGCCCUACGAGGUCCUGUUUGAGCAAGAAAUGAAGAAAGUAGUAUAUGAUCAUUUCAAGUAGCCCUUGGGAGGAUUCAAAGACAAGCGAAUAGCCCGAACGACUCUAGGGCAGGGAGAAAGAUUAAAGAAUAGAUUGGAUAUGCGACAAAUCACAUGUAGAAUUUAUGUAUUUGAUUAUUCUCACGCAAAGACUGUUACAUGCUCUAACCAUCUAACAUUCACGAUCACGAUCACGCACAUCUUCUCAAAUCAGGAUAGAGGACCCGCUGAACUUAA